rnacentral:rRNA from 1 species
AGACCCGAAACCCGGUGAUCUAGCCAUGGGCAGGUUGAAGGUUGGGUAACACUAACUGGAGGACCGAACCGACUAAUGUUGAAAAAUUAGCGGAUGACCUGUGGCUGGGGGUGAAAGGCCAAUCAAACCGGGAGAUAGCUGGUUCUCCCCGAAAGCUAUUUAGGUAGCGCCUCGUGAAUUCAUCUCCGGGGGUAGAGCACUGUUUCGGCUAGGGGGCCAUCCCGGCUUACCAACCCGAUGCAAACUGCGAAUACCGGAGAAUGUUAUCACGGGAGACACACGGCGGGUGCUAACGUCCGUCGUGAAGAGGGAAACAACCCAGACCGCCAGCUAAGGUCCCAAAGUCAUGGUUAAGUGGGAAACGAUGUGGGAAGGCCCAGACAGCCAGGAUGUUGGCUUAGAAGCAGCCAUCAUUUAAAGAAAGCGUAAUAGCUCACUGGUCGAGUCGGCCUGCGCGGAAGAUGUAACGGGGCUAAACCAUGCACCGAAGCUGCGGCAGCGACGCUUAUGCGUUGUUGGGUAGGGGAGCGUUCUGUAAGCCUGUGAAGGUGGCCUGUGAGGGUUGCUGGAGGUAUCAGAAGUGCGAAUGCUGACAUAAGUAACGAUAAAGCGGGUGAAAAGCCCGCUCGCCGGAAGACCAAGGGUUCCUGUCCAACGUUAAUCGGGGCAGGGUGAGUCGACCCCUAAGGCGAGGCCGAAAGGCGUAGUCGAUGGGAAACGGGUUAAUAUUCCCGUACUUGGUGUUACUGCGAAGGGGGGACGGAGAAGGCUAUGUUGGCCGGGCGACGGUUGUCCCGGUUUAAGCGUGUAGGUGUGUGUUCCAGGUAAAUCCGGUUCACUUUAACACUGAGGCGUGACGACGAGGCACUACGGUGCUGAAGCAACAAAUGCCCUGCUUCCAGGAAAAGCCUCUAAGCAUCAGGUAACAUCAAAUCGUACCCCAAACCGACACAGGUGGUCAGGUAGAGAAUACCAAGGCGCUUGAGAGAACUCGGGUGAAGGAACUAGGCAAAAUGGUGCCGUAACUUCGGGAGAAGGCACGCUGACAUGUAGGUGAAGUGAUUUACUCAUGGAGCUGAAGUCAGUCGAAGAUACCAGCUGGCUGCAACUGUUUAUUAAAAACACAGCACUGUGCAAACACGAAAGUGGACGUAUACGGUGUGACGCCUGCCCGGUGCCGGAAGGUUAAUUGAUGGGGUCAGCGCAAGCGAAGCUCCUGAUCGAAGCCCCGGUAAACGGCGGCCGUAACUAUAACGGUCCUAAGGUAGCGAAAUUCCUUGUCGGGUAAGUUCCGACCUGCACGAAUGGCGUAAUGAUGGCCAGGCUGUCUCCACCCGAGACUCAGUGAAAUUGAACUCGCUGUGAAGAUGCAGUGUACCCGCGGCAAGACGGAAAGACCCCGUGAACCUUUACUAUAGCUUGACACUGAACAUUGAGCCUUGAUGUGUAGGAUAGGUGGGAGGCUU